CCUUAAGCCUUAAGCCUCCUCUAGUCACUUAGAGAUGGGGUUCACCCAGUCCUUGCCAAUGUGUUAGCAGACAAACUUAAAAUGGAACCUCUCUAAGUACAGAAUUUGCACUUAGCUCCUCCAAAGGGUCCCUUCUUGAGGACCCUUCUGUAAGACCUAACUCAUCUUUACUGUCUCAGUGAAACUUGACCCCAUUCAUCCCAUUUUCCUUCUACGUACUCAUCAGACUUUAAGACACAAAGAAGUGAAUCUCUGAGAGGGAAAUGAUAGGUGCCAUAGCAUCCCUUGUAUACAUGCUCAGGAGUCAGGCUGCCUAGGUUUGAUUCUCAGCACCCUCAUUUAGUAGCUACAAACUUGGGGUUGAUCUCAUUUACCUAAGCCUCAGUUUCUAAAUCUGUAUAUGGAGAUGAUGCUAAUAUACUACCUCCCCUCUGAGCACAAGAUUGACAUAACAGACAUAAAAUGCAUGUAUAAUAGCAGGGCAGAUGGAAAGUGCUCAAUGUGAGUUAAAAUGCAAAUAUCCUAGAAGACUCUUUCCUGUACCCUUAACUAACAUAAUAUGGAAAGUGAGAAUUGGAAUUGUUGACAAUUUGGGCUGGGAAGAAAAAUAAUAGAUAUUACUCUUUUUCAAAAAUUGGGAAAAGUGAAGACUUUUUGAAACAGUUGACAAAAUGUGGCAUUUUACCCCUUUCCCACUCAUUCCCACACAUGACUCCUCACUCCAUACAUUAUUUACUUUUUGAGAUCGUCCAAUGAUAACAAAGGAAAAAGGCUGAAUAAAAUUUAGUUUUUACUGAUUCAACCAAACGACUGCUCAUGUUAAUCCAAAUAAACACAUGAUACAUGAAGGACUUCAAAUCCUAUUUUAUUUUUCUUCUCUGGGUCACUAUAGUACUU
rnacentral:lncRNA from 10 species